rnacentral:rRNA from 1 species
GACGAACGCUGGCGGCGUGCCUAACACAUGCAAGUCGAGCGAUGAAGCUCCUUCGGGAGUGGAAUAGCGGCGGACGGGUGAGUAACACGUGGGUAACCUGCCUCAUAGAGGGGAAUAACCUUCCGAAAGGGAGAUUAAUACCGCAUAACAUAGCACUACCGCAUGGUAGAGUUAUCAAAGGAGCAAUCCGCUAUGAGAUGGACCCGCGGCGCAUUAGCUAGUUGGUGAGGUAACGGCUCACCAAGGCGACGAUGCGUAGCCGACCUGAGAGGGUGAUCGGCCACAUUGGAACUGAGACACGGUCCAGACUCCUACGGGAGGCAGCAGUGGGGAAUAUUGCGCAAUGGGGGAAACCCUGACGCAGCAACGCCGCGUGAGUGAAGAAGGCCUUAGGGUUGUAAAGCUCUGUCAUAUGGGAAGAUAAUGACGGUACCAUAAGAGGAAGCCACGGCUAACUACGUGCCAGCCGCCGCCGUAAUAC